rnacentral:pre_miRNA from 1 species
AUAGUACUCCCUCCGUCCGGAAAUACUUGUCGGACAAGUGGAUGUAUCUAGAUGUAUUUUAGUUGUAGAUACAUCUAUUUUUAAUCAUUUCUCCGACAAGUAUUUUGGGAUGGAGGGAGUAUACA